AUGGGCAGAAGACAUGAACAGACAUUUCUCCAAAGAAGACAUCCAGAUGGUCAACAGACACAUGAAAAGAUGUUCAUCAUCACGUGCCAUCAGGAAAAUACAAAUCAAAACUACAAUGAGAUAUCACCUCACACCUGUCAGAAUGGCUAAAAUCAACAACACAGGAAACAACAGAUGUUGGUCCAUCCAUAUCAUUUACCUGCUUAAAACCCUUCAAUGGGUUUCCAGCCAUGACAGAAUAACAGGGACCAGAUUUACCCUCUGUUUAAAACAACUGAAAAAAAACACAGACAAAUAUAUGGGGAAAAAAAUGUCUUCAGACAUUGGACAUCAAGCAGUACAGAGAAGUAAACCCUGAGAGAUGGAAAACAAAUGAG